UGGGGAAUUUUGCACAAUGGGGGAAACCCUGAUGCAGCGACGCCGCGUGAUUUAGAAGGCCUUCGGGUUGUAAAAAUCUUUUCUAUGGGAAGAAAAUGACAGUACCAUAGGAAUAAGGACCGGCUAAUUACGUGCCAGCAGCCGCGGUAAUACGUAAGGUCCGAGCGUUGUCCGGAAUCAUUGGGCGUAAAGGGUACGUAGGCGGGUAAGCAAGUUAGAAGUGAAAUCCUAUAGCUCAACUAUAGUAAGCUUUUAAAACUGCUCAUCUUGAGGUAUGGAAGGGAAAGUGGAAUUCCUAGUGUAGCGGUGAAAUGCACAGAUAUUCGGAGGAAUACCGGUGGCGAAGGCGACUUUCUGGCCAUAACCUGACGCUGAGGUACGAAAGCGUGGGUAGCAAACAGG
rnacentral:rRNA from 1 species